CUGAUUUUCAAAGGAGCUGUGCAUGUAACUGAUGACGAGUUCUUCCGGUUGAUAAUUCAGUCCACAAUAGUUGAUGAUUAAGUUCACAAAAUCAUCAUACAAAACAUCACUUUGGACUGUCAUGGCUAUCGUCUCUAGCAUUUCACCUUCCUUCUAACGCCAUACAUAUCGAUUGCUCUUCUCAAUCCAUUGACCAUGAUAAUCCACCCCUAUUGUUAUUGAUCCAUCCAUUAGUGGCCUAAAAUAAAGUUAUUUGUUAAAAAAAGUUAAGAGUGAUUUCAUAGUGCCGUAAAUAAAUUCCAACAGAUGUUUAAUCUGUUGCAACAGGUGAAAAAUAAGUUGCAACAGGUAAGUGAUCAGUCAUCCUGAAUCUGAUUUCAACGGACGAGUCAUCUGUUGUAACAUGUGAAUCAUAUGUAGCAACAGACUAUAUAUCUGUAGCAACAGAUGAAGCGCCUGUUGGGAUAGAUGUUAUAGUACUAAGGCACCUUUUAAGUUAAUUCCAACAGAUAAGUGACAUACUGCAAUAGAUAAUUAACCUGUUGAGACAAAUGACUUACCUAUUGCAACAGACCACACAUCUGUUGGAAUCGAGUUCAGGUUCUAUUGCAAUAGGUUACUAAUUUGUUGUAACAGAUAUUUACCCUGUUGCAACAGACGACGCUUCUGUUGGAAUUGAGUUCAGGUUCUGUUGUAAUAAAUAUUUAUCAUGUUGCAUCAGAUAACUAAUCUGUUGCAACAGAUGACCCAUCUGUUCGAUUCAUGUUACGGCACUAUAGAACCAUAAACAUGAAUCCAACAUAUGAGUAUUCAGUUGAAACAGAUGUCUCAUCUGUCGCAACAGAUGAUUGAUCUGUUUAAACAGAUGGCUCUUAUGUUGCAUUCAUGUUCGCGUGCUGUUUAUUGUUGAAAAAACAACACAAUAGCAGUUACCCAGAUGACAAAUUCAACUAAAAAUCAUAAUAUGACUUACCGAAGUCUCCUAUGAAGUAAUGCCAAAGAGAAAAGUGAUGUACAAAAUAAAAUUUGACCUCAGAAAUUGGUCAAAUAGAAGUAGUAGUGGUAACAACAACAACAACAACAACAAUGGUCAACAAGAAGAAGAUGAAGAUAAAGAUGAUAAUAAAGUAGAAGAUGAUGAUAAUGAUAAAAAGAAGAUGAUGAAUAAAGCAGUAGCAACAAUGAACAACAAAAAUCGCUAAGAGAGAGAAAACAACAAUGGAUGAGAAUAGAGGGAAAUGCACCUUUUUUCCCUCCAUUUUCCGUCAUAUUAGGUAAACAUUUGGAUCAAAGUAUAAAUUUAAAAAGUUGUGGGCUAUUCUCUAACUUACUCAACUUUCUUAAUUCAUAAUAAAGUAAUUGUCAUCUCCGCUCAAUUAUUAAAACUUGUGUCACCUGCACCUCAUUUUCAAACUCUUUUGUCACUUUUAUCUCAAAGCCCCAAGCUAGAAAUCCUUGUGAAUCGCCUAAAUAUUUUCAGCAUUUGUGAUAGAAAUUCUAGUGAUUUAUAAAAGAUUAUGGUCAAAAAUCAUAAUGACCAUCAUAAUUUAUUUCGUAAAUAAUCUAAGAUUUGAUUUGUUUUCAAAUCAAAUAUAAAUGAAUCCAAAUUUAAUAUUCAGUCUUCUAAUGUUCAAUUGUUAGAUUUUCAACACAAACCUUUAAAAUGACACAAUACAUAAAUGUAUCUUCUUAAAGUAAGAUGAUUAGGUUAAUAUACUUGACCACUAUUUGACUCUUAAUGAAAUUGAGUAGGUCACUAUUUUUUAAUUCUUUUUAACAGAUUAAUUAAUAAAUAAUUUAAGGAAAAAAUGGAAGAAGACCAUUUUAUAUGUGUAUAGCAAUUAGAUAAUUAAAAGCCACUAAGCAAUAAAUAAAUUAAUUUUCAAGAGUAUCAAUAGACAACCAGAAUACAAAUAUCGUAAUUUUAACACACAUUAAAUAAAUUAAUUUUCAAGAGUAUCAAUAAACAACCAAAAUACAAAUGAAAAUAACAAAUAUCACAAAUUUUAACAUAUAAUUAUGAUAAUCAAGAUAUUAGAACAAUACGAUUAAACCUAAUCUUUAAAUAAAAAUUUCUCAAAUUUCAUCUACCAUCUAUAUAAAGCAGAACAGAGCGUCAGACACACGUCAAAUCUAGUAGCAAUUAUAUUAUUAAACAUGUGAUGCAGUUGCAUAGCAGAAACAACCAUACAAAAAAUAAAAUUGAUAAAACAAUAAAUAAAUGAUAAAAAAAGUGGAAGAAAACAUUAACUACGAUACAGACAGGAUCAAUGGCGACAUGCUUGGUUCAUUCAAAUUUUUUUAUCAAAAAUUUUCAGUUGAAAGAAAAACGCGAGAAAUUAUCAAAAUAGGAUAAUUCAUUGUGAUCAAUUAUUGAUUUUGUAUAAUUCAUAUAUAAACAUGAGAAUUCAUUGUGAGUACUUGUUGAUUACGUAUAAUUCAAAAGAUGAUGAUAAUCAAUGCAAGAGGACGACAAGAAGAAAAACAGAAGUAGAAGAAGGCGUGUGUCUCUUGGUAAUUUUGAUCCAAAAUAUUAUUUAAAUAGAAUUGUAUAAAUUAUUCUUUUAUAUAAGGUAAAAUUCUAAUUAAUUUAGAAGUGUUAAAUAUUGUGAUUUAAAACAAUUGAAUUUUAAAAAGUGCUAGAUACAUAGGAUUUUGUGUAUAGUUUAAAUGGGGAAGAAUUCAACCAUUUGUUAAUUUUGACCAAUAAUAUUAGUCGAACAAAAUUGUAGAAAUUAUUCUUUUAUAUAAGGUAAAAUUUUAAUUAAUUUAGAAGUGUUAAAUAUUAUGAUUUAAACCAAUUAAAGUUUAAAAAAUGCUAGAUGCAUUAGGACUUCGUGUACAAUUUAAACAGGGAAGAAUUCAACUAUUAAAUUUUUUUAGUAAAACAUAUUAACUAUAGUCACGUUGACUCUAAAAACAGACAUUAAGAUUUUUUUACCUAAUCAUUCAAAUAAAUAAAGAUUUAAUAAUUCUUUUAUAAAUAUCUUAUAUUACAUGGUUCGAAUAAGGACGAAUCUAAUACAUAAAAUUUAUUUUUCACCAUAUAUUUCAGGAAUACUUAAUUAGUAACUUUUUCGAUACUUCUUACCAUAUAUUUAGGAUUACUUAAUUAUUAAUUCUUCUAAACCUCUUACCAUAUAUUUUAGGACUCCAUAAUUAUAAAGAGAAGAAUUUAUUAAUAAAAUAAAUUAGUAAAUGACAAUUUUUUCUAAAGAAAAAUCUUUUAACGAGGGGCAAAAGUUUCGAUUCACUUUUUUAAGGGGCUUCACGUUUUUAAUAGAUUAUAGAUUAUAGAUUAUAGAUACAGAUAUAGAUUAUACAUAUAGAUUAUAGAUUUUAAAUUAUAGAUUAUAGAUUAUAUUAAAAUAGUUUGAGAAGUUGGGGUUAAGCAUCGUGUUGGACAGCUGUUGUUUCAAGUAUUUCUCUGAAAUUUAAAGUGGAUCCCUAGUUUAUUGAUACAUAUCUUAGUUACUAUUUUGGGAUUUGAGUAUUAAUAUAUUGGGCAUACUAUUAACCAAUCAAGUUUGGAUGGUGGAGGGCUAGGCAUAUUUUGGUUUAAACCGAAAAAAUCAAAAAAAAAACGAAUUGAAAUUUAAUUUUGGUUUGAUUUUUUGAUUUUUUGGAUUGGUUUCGAUUUUAAAUUUUAGAAAUUUGAUUAACCAGUUUGGUUUUUGGAUUUACAAAAAUAAAUUCGGAUAAAUCGAAAAACCAAAAUUAUAUAAAUAAUAUAUUAUAAUAUAUAUAUAUAAUUUAAUAUAUAUGUAAAUAUACUAAAAAUAAAUAUAAUCUAAUAUAACAUAUAAAUAUAUAAAUUAUAAUCAUUUAGUAACCCUAAAUCCUAAUAUACUGCUUUGCUUUAGACCCUAACAUUAACGUGAAAGCUACAACAGCGCUCAACCAUCCUCAGUUCGUCAAUUCAUUUGACAUUUCAACAUUGCCAACAACAGUCGUUUGCUCAGUUCAUUUGCUUAGUUCGUCACUGCUGUCGGCAGUCGCUGCCGAGUGUGGCCACUGCCGUCAUGCCAACGGCGAUGACUCAACGAGGUCGAUAUUUAUGGUUAUUUCAUGCAUGUUGAAUUAAUUAUAUUUGGGAAUGAAAAAUAGGUUUGAAAAAAAGAUUAUUUCUCUAGAAAAAUCGCCAAUUUUAAAUGCUCACUACUUUAAUCUUUAAAACAAAAAUAAAAAUCCGAAAUAACCGAACCGAAUUUGUAAAAACCGAACCAAACCAAAAUAAUUUUGAUUUGGUUAUGGUUUUCAUUUUCGUCAAUCCGAAAAUCGAAAAACCGAACCGAUAUUCAACAAUCAAACCGAACAAACCGAAUGUCCACUCCUAAUGGUGAUAUUAAGAUGAGUUUAGUAUGAAUUGAUAAGAUUUAGUUCUUCAAGUUUUAAAAUUUAUUGAAAUUGAAAUUUUUUUGGGUAUUUAAGUUAAAAAUAAAUAUGGUAAUAUGGGUGUUAUUGAAAUCGUAUUUUUAUGGAUAUUAUGUUUUUGAAUAGAUUUUGACCAUUUAGAGGCUUUACGUAAGAGUAAGUUUAUUAAUUGAUGGUUGGCUUCGGUUUGAGGCAAGAUGAGAUUUUUUUAGACUAUUUUUCAAAAUGUUUAUGUCUUAACUAUGUGUAAUGGGAGUAAUGAAAAUUGAGGGAUCUCGUGUAGAUGAGGUGACGGGCAUCUAUGCGGGUACCGACGUUAUUUGAAGGGUUAAAAUCAACUAGUUGCUUGUUUUCAACUAUUUUUUCUCUAUUUACUUGCAUGAUCGGGUUGGUUUGCCAUUGUGAAUGAAUUGUUGAAAAUGCUAGCUAAUGAGAAUAUUUGUAUUCAUAGAUUAAGUUGAUUUUGGAGUUGACAUUGAAUUUGGCUUAAGACAUGAAAUGCUUGCUUAACUUUAUUGUCAAUUUGGGACCGAAGUUGCACGCUUGCACAACAUGCAUUAUAUUUCAGAUGGGAUCAGAGUGCAUGCCUAUACAAUAUAAUAUUGGGGUUAGAGUAGACACCUGGAUAUGAUAUUUAUUAUUGAGAUCGGAGUGCAUGCUUGUACAACACGCACACACAAUAUAUGCAUUGCAUUGCAUUCAUUCUUUUCUUGUUUCCUUUUUUAUUUUUCUUACUCCAUAAUGGAGUAAUCUUUUUCUGUUAGGAUAGUUGAUGAAGCUUGAUAUAUAUAUUUAUAAUACUAUCUCAAUCGCAAAAGAUCUUAUCCUGAAAAUUUUUAUUUAUAUUUCAACUUGUGCUGAAUAAUAGUUUUCAAUUGAUUUUAUAUUAGCUUUAUAAUUUUCAUGGAGCAAAAUUAAUAUAUGAUAUCUAAUGAGUAAAAUAGUAGAGUGAAAGUAAUCUUUAGUUAUUUGUUAUUUCAAAAUCUUUGAUCUUAUUUUUUUAAAUACUAAUUAUCACAGAGGGAUCAACUCAAACAAGUUUAUUGAAUUAGAUAAAUUUUUUCGUCCUAAUUCUCAUGGAGGAUUGACUCAAAUAAGUUUAUCGAUUAAAGGAGUCUUUAUCUUAUUCUUUCAGUCCUAAUUCUCACGGAGGAAUUGACAAAUCAGUUUAUUGAUCUAAGAACUAAUCAAAAAAGGCCUUUCAUCCUUUUUAGCAUAACCCAAAAAGUGUUAAUUAAUUAUUUACUUUGAGUUGACAUAAUAUGAUUGUAUUAGCAAUAAGCAAUUAUUCUUUAGAAAAAAAAAUAUAUGUGGAGACAUAAAUUUUAUUAUGAUAAUAUUAUCAAGUGCAUUCAAGGAAUCCCAACUUUUUUUGAUUAUAAAUCUUUCAAAAGUGAUUUCCUUUAGUUUUAAGUAACUUAUAAUUUCAACUUUACCUUUCAUCAAUCUGAUUCUCUCGAAUAGCAGUCAAGAUAUUAAAAAUUUAUAGCAUGAAUUUUCCAAUAUUUGGAUGAUAUCUUAAACUUUACUAGAAUUUGUAGAAACAACUAUACAUAUUAGCCUCGUCAACUAGAUAACUUUAUUGUCAUUCAAUUGGUUUAUAUUUUUUGAUAGAUAUUGAUUUACGAAUACACACAUAUUUAAAGGGGCAUUUUUGAGUUUGAUUAUGACAACUGGGCGAUGCAAUUUUUACGUUAACGGAGGAGGGCUCAUAAUACAAGUUACGAUGUGAUAACUUCUACCCCAACAAAAGUAAAGAAGGGCUACUUAAUAAAACUCUCAAAAAUGUUAAUUUUGUUGAUUGGUCCGCUUAAAGUGCAUCAAUAUAAUGAGGAUAAGAUGAAGGUAAUUAUUCUAUAUAAUUUGAUUCUCUCUUUCUAUUUUUUUUUUGGGGGGAGAGGGUACGUAAAUAAGCACUAAAUUGGAAAUUCGCCCCCGACAUCUAGGCUUGCAUAUGUAGACUCCUAGCAGAAAAUAGUUUUAACACAGUUUACGUUGGAUAUACAUUUAGCUCUCCUAGUUUCCUAGCCAUAAACAUAAAAUUCAAAAUCAGUCUGUUUCCUUUGACGAAGUAAAGAUGAAUCAAAGGUUGUUAUAGGUUUGAUGCGUUAUCUUCUGUGUGGUUGGAUUAGCCAAGUAUUCUAAUUAGUUAUAUUGAUGUUGUGGAGCACAUUCAUUCUUUCAGUUUGUUAUAGGAAGUACUUUUUGAGAAAUGCAUAUCAAAUUCUGUGUUCAACUUAUUAAUUUAUUUCUUUUUCCUUCUCUACUAUAGAUUUUUGAGAAUUACAGAAACUAUCAUUUCUCAUUGGUCUGCUCUAAAAAAAAAAGAGAAUGAAAUAAGAAUUUUGUGUAUAUUUAUGUUUUUGUCCCUUUCCCCUGCUAUAUAGAUUAUCGAUUAUUUUUUACUUUGUUAUUUGUCUAGCAAUGGAUCACUGGUAUUACUUUCUUCUUUAGUAUUACAUCUUUUAUUCUGAACUUUAUAUUUCAUCUACAAUCAACUAUAUAUGAACUUCAAGAGACUAUACAUAAGUUACCAUAAAGUCAACGCAAUUUAAUUUAUGAGAAUGAAUGAAGAAGUCAGCCAUACUAGUUGUUGAAUAUAAUGCAACUAGUGACAGAAAUGAUAGGAUGCGAUAACGAAAUAAUAUUUGAUUAGAAAACGAUCAUAUUAGGAAGAUUUUUCAGUAUACUAAACAAGGCACACAUCCAACCUCAUAAUACAACAGGUACGAUUAAUUCAGAAUGACGAGAUGGAGACCUAAUUAGAACUGAGAAUGCAUCCAUCAUUGUUAGUGUCAAGCUGCCAUAACCAAACACAUUACUUGUCACCAAAAGGCUGCAAGCACCAAAGGUUAAGUAAAUUAUAAGUUACCCACUUAACCUUGGUGCUUGCAGCCUUUUGGUGACAGUGAUGGGUUUGGUAUGGCAGCUUGACACUAGCAAUGAUGCAUGCAUUCUCAGUUAUAACUAGGCCCUCAUCUCGUCAUUUUAGAUAUCGUACUUGUAUUAGGAGAUUGGUAUGUGCCUUGUUUAGUAUACUAAAAAUCUGACCUAUAUAAUCGUUUUCUAAUCAAAAUUAUCUCGUUGUCAUAUCUAACAUGUACUGUCAAAUCUCUGUCACUAGUUGCAUCAUGUUCAACAACUAGUGUGGCUGACUACCUAAUUCAUUCUGAUAAAUUAAAUUGUGAUGGCUUUGUAUAUGACAACUUUCGUAUAAUUUCUUAGAGUUAAUAUAUAAUUAAUUGUAGAUGAAACAUAAAGUUCAAAAUAAAAAAUGUAACACUAUAGAAGAAAAGUAACACCGGUGAUCUAUUUUUGGAAAAAUAACAAAUUAAAGUAACUGAUAAUCUAUAACAAGAAAAAAAGGACAAAGGCAUAAGUGUACACAAAAUUCUUAUUUUCAGAAGUGUACACAAAAUUCUUAUUUUCAUAAGUGUACACAAAAUUCUUAUUUUCAUACUCUUUUUCAGAGUAAACUAAUAGGAAAUGAUAGUUUGAUAUAUUAUCCUCAAAAAUCUAUACUAGCAAAAGAAAAAAGAAAUAAAUUAAUAAGUCAAAUGUAGAGUUUUAUAUGUAAUUCUCAAAAAGCACUCCCCAUAGCAAACUACAAGAAUGGAAUUGCACCACAACACUAGUAUAACUAAUUAGAACACUUGGCUAAUCUAACCAUAAAUAGGACAAGAAAUCAAACCUAUAACAAUCUUUAGUUUAUUUUUACUUAAUCAAGGGGCACAAGUAGAUUCGGAAUUUUGCAUUUAUGGCUAGAAAACUAGAACUUAAUGUAUACCCAAUGUGAGCUAAGUUGAAAUUAUUUUCUGCUAGGAGUCUACCUAUACAAGCCUAGAAGUCUAGACUGCAUGUUAUUUACCUCCCCCCUUCAAAAAAAAAAAACAAAGAAAGAGAGAAUCUAAUUUUGUUGGAAGUUUUAGCAAGUAGCGUUUCUUUAAUUUUGUUGGGGUAAAAGUUAUCAAAUCGUAACUUAUAUUUAUGGGACCUCCAACUUUAUUGUAAAGAUGGCACCCAAUUAAUUCCAGCAUCAUAAUCAAACUCAAAAUGCUCCUAUGUUUGUAUUCAUAAAUCAAUAUCUUCCCAAAAAAAUAGAUAAGCUAAUUGAAUGAUGAUAACGUUAGCUAGUUACCUCAAUAACUUGUCACUAUAGCUGUCUUUUCUCAUGUGGCAUCCUAUCCCAUCUCACAAUUGAUACGGAAUAAAAUACGUACUUUUGAAAAAGUCUGCCAAGAAAUCUCAUAAGCAAGUUUGAAUCAUUAUCACUUCCUCAUCCAUCACCGUUGAGUUUUACCAUGACUUUUUAUUUUUAUUGCUAAGUUUCAAACACGACAUCUUUUGAGUUGUAACUUGUUCGGUCAAGGUAUCUAUAAUUUUAAAAAGCAAUUAAAUUUAAUCAAAAGUAAUAAUAACAAAACAUAAUAAAGAAUAAAAGGCAACAAUCAAUUCUAAUAUGCAAUUACUUCUAACCUCUAAUCUAGACAAGUAAGGACUCCUCUUUCAUUUGAGAGCUAGCUUUAUUAAAGCUUGAAGAGGAAAUUAAAUUGUCAUCAUCAAAAGUAGGAGUUGUUACAUUUUUAUUUACAACUUGGUCAUCUAAUUGAUUUAAACUUUGAGAAGUUGUGUUAUUGUUGUCAGUUUUUCGUCCUCAUAAACUUGCUAAUAACGAGUGUGUUGACUUCUUGCGUUUUUGCUUCAUAUUCUUCUAGAAUGAGACUUCUAAAUAUUGCUCAUGAAAAGGUAUGUCCCCUAUUGAUGGCUCCUCUAAAUACAUAAAAUCCAGAUAUGCCAUAUCAUAGAUGUCUCAGUUUCAUAAGACAAACAUCACACCAUUCUUCAAUAAUUGGAUCAUCAACAUAGUACAUUCUAGCAUCAGUUGCAAGUAUAAAUAAUUCAUUUAUUUCUUUUGCAUCAGUGUGUAUCAAAUGGGAAAAGUUCUUGGGAGUGCUUGGGAACUAUUGAGACAUAGAAGUGAACCUCAGGAAUUGACUCUGAAUAUAUAAGAAAAAAGAAUUUCUUUCAAAGUAUUGUUCCUUUUUUGGAAACUUUGGACGCAUAGAAUUCUCAUUAAAGAAGUGAGUGAAAAUCAAAGUGGUUGACGAAGUUGUUUAUUGUUAUUGCUACAGUAAUGCUCAAGAAACAGUUGAACAUUAUUCUGUCACGACCCGAAUCGAGGCCCUGGCCAUAACGGACAUCCCGAACCAUGAAGGCCCGAGUGCCCCUCUCUAUCUGGCAAUUAUGCACAAUGUUUAUACAAUAAGAAAAUGCGAAAAAUUAUCAUACAAAAACAUGGUCAAUCUCAUAAGUAAACUGUUCUAAAAGAAGUUCUUAACAUUCAAAACACAUGACACCAGUCUGCGAAAUCUCUAACAAUACAAAAAUCAAUAUACGUCUAAAAACUGGGACAAGGCCCUAGUCGGACCAUGGAUCAAACAAAAUAGUAAUAUCCAAUACCCAAGACCUUCCAAAAUAAGGGAGGCUCACCAACUGCAAACUUCGGACAAACAAUCUACAACUUAGCGGGACCCCAAGACUAUGCCUCAAAUCUUGAAAUAUAGGGGGUCAAUACAGUCGUACUGGUACGCAGAAAAUCCAAAAAUAAAACAAAUUACUGAUAUGUAAAGUAAGUGAGAGCAUUUCAUGAAAAGUAUGCCAUCUAAGACAUUCAAAAAUCCAUGGGCAUAACCAUUAGGCUUUUAAAACGUUUCUGUAAAACUCAACUAGACAUCUUUGUCUUACUUCUGAACUAGGUGGUACACCCUAAAAGUAUGAUAUUCCACGGACUAUAUGGAAUACGCCCUUGACUCGGCCGCCAAGCCCCUAAACCAAGUUUGUCGCAAAGGUUGGAGUUUCUGAUUUUCAUACGCCACAGGGCACUAGGCCAGUGUAUAAUACCUCUUGGGGACAUAAUAACCCAUAUCGGCAAAACACGAUUUUGGACAAUGAGUUAUCUGAACUCGUGCCUUCUUCGGGUAACCACCUAACAUCUCUUAAGCCCAUUUUUACAUUUUAAAAUAUCCAUCUUUCUGAAAUCAAAUGAUGAAAAUCCGAGUAAAAUCUGACUUAUGUUCUAUUUUGAGUUUGUUAUAGCAUUAUCUGUUUUGGUAUCGUCAUACCAAGACUUGCAAGUCAUAUAUUCUAAGCCAUAAAAUAUCAUGUUACAGCUCUUUCAUUCAAAACAAUGUUUAGAGCACCAAAACAUUCAAACAGUACAAGAGAACUCAUAUUUCCAAAAUAUAUGUCAAACUAGGCAAAAAUCUUCCUUUUUCAACAUUUCAACAAAUGGUGGUCAAUUUAUCAAAAUAACCAUUCAAUUCUUUCGAUUAUCACAUUCAGCCUUUACAAACAAGAAAUAUCUCUCUCUUCAAUUCACAAUUGACAUAAAAUUCAUAUAUGAUAGUAAAACCCUUGGUUCAUGCUUUAAGAUAUGCAAUUGAGUAAUCCUUGUCAAUCAAGAAAUAACACCAUGGGAGAAAAAUUCGUUAUUCAUGAUCUCCAUUUAUACUUUUCAAAACGUCGAACGCAUACACACAUAUAUAUACAUAAAUAAAAAAUCAAAUUUAAGAGGGAGGUCUCAAGACCAAAGCAUUAUCGUCAAAAGGAUUCACCAUACAUGAGUUAUUGUAAAUUCAAACCCUUAGUAAAUAUAUCAAUUAUCAACAUUCAAAACAUUAUUAAAAAGAUUUCACCAUACCCAUGUAGUUUAGGAAAACCCCACGUACCUCAGAUUACUUAGUUCGAAGGAUAGAACUCGAAUAUUGAUUGGUUUUCUUGGAAAUCUUGACUUAAGAGCUUGAUUCUUGAUCUUUGGGGGUUUAGGGUUUCCUUGAAGAGGAGAAGAGAAUAAUGAUGCAAUAAAUGCUCUUUGGGGGCUUAAAUCUUGUUUUGGACGGUUUUGGGUGAGUUAGAUAACCCUAUUGCCCUCAAAUACGCGGAAACAGAAACUGAAAAAUAAGGGAGCAUGUUAUGGAGCGUGUGUCGCAUGCUCUAGAGCACCAAAAUGGAGCGUGCGUCGCAUGCUCUAUCGCGGGCUCCCUCAGGGGUGGAAUGGAGCGCGCCCCGUGGGCUAAUCGCGCGACCUGCCUCUCUAAUGAAAAUGGCUAUAACUUUUUGCUCGGUAUCGAAUUAAGGCAAAAUUGGUAUCGUUGUAAAGUUGACUCAAUUAUCUACAAUUUUGUGGGUCUUAAGCUGCAAAAUUCUACUUGUAUUGAAAGUUAUACACGUUCAAAGUAAACCCUUGUAAAAUCGAAUACAAAGAUUUAACCGAAUCAAAGGUUCUUAGCUCAACUUCGCUCUAAGUGACUUCUAUGAGGAUUUUUCACCUCGAAAGCACUUCAAACAUGAGGAUAAAGAUCAUAACACUUAUUCUCACAUGGAAAUAAUUUCUAUUAGAGCUUACACACGUAGGAACAACAGUUCGAUUUCUAGUUCGAAAAUGCAGGGUGUUACAUAUUCAUUGGACAUUCUAAUGCUAAUUAUUUAUGAAGUAUAUUUGAAGGAGCAACAAGGGUGCUUGGACCAUUUUUCUAGGCUAAGGACACCAUUCUAAAGUGGUGGAAUACAAAUUGUGUGACAAAUUAAAGCCUUUAUACAAGGUUGUACCAGCUUUUAUUUUUUGGCAGGUGUAGAAGUGGAGGAAUAAAAUCACAAAUGGGGGCAAAAUGUCAAGGCAUGCAAUGGUGAUGGACAUUAGAGGAACUUGCAUAUGAUGGCAAACCUUCAUGGAUGCUCAAUAGUAUAGGAAAGUUCUCAGUAGGAAGUUCUUGGGAACUAAUGAGACAGAGAAGUGAACCUCAGCCUCAGGAGCUGAUUCUGAAUAUAUGAGAAAAAGGAAUUCCUUUCAAAGUCUCUUUCCUUUUUUCAGGACUUUGGAAGAAUAGAAUUCCCUUUGGUAAGGUGCCUGUAAAAAUCAAAAUGACUGACGAAGUUGUUUGUUGUUGUUGCAAUAGUAUGCUCCAAAAAUAUUUAAACAUUUAUCACAGGAGGUUUUGAUGCUAAUUAUUUAUGGAGUAUAUUUGCAGGAGCAGUAGAGGUACCUGGAACAUUUUUGCAGGUUAAGGACAUCAUUCUAAAGUGGUGAAAUGCAGAUUAUGUAAUAAAAUUAAAGCUUUUAUACAAGGUUGUACCAGCUUUUAUUAUCUGGCAGGUGAGGAAGAGGAGGAAUAAAAUUAGAAAUGGGGGCAAAAUGUCAACGCAUGCAAUGGCGAUGGAAAUUUAUAGGAAUCUGCAUAUCAUUACGAAGGUCAGAUAUGCUUAAAUGCAGGAUAUUCCUAUUGAUUGGCCUAUGUUAGUCAAGCUGUUUGAGGAGUAUAAUCUUAUUAUUUCUUAUCAAUUAAUUAUAUUGGGAUUUUAUAAGUGUAAUUUUGACAAGUAAAGAAAAUCUUGAGUCUAGUUCUAGUGCAUUUUGUACUAAGAAUAAGGAGAGGGACUUUGUCUUUAGUGAAACAUGGAGAAUUAAGGAUGGAACAAUGCUUAAAGUUGAGGCUGUAGCUAUGAGAAUGGGGUUGGAAUACUACAUAAGUCAUAACCGGCUACUAGUGAUUAUGGAAAUUGAUUCUCUCAUCCUUAAGAAAAUAUCUGAUGGUAUAUGAAAGGUGCCCUGGACAAUUGUUUUGAAAAUUAAAAUGCUCAAGUACACAAUGGAGAAUAAUAUUAUGGUGGUGGUACACAUAUUCAGAUAGGGAAAUUCGUUUGGCGAAUUAUUUCACCAACUCUAUUUUCAAUUUUGCAGGUACAAACAGGAUUCAAUUUAAUUCACUAUAGGAGGUUUCAACUAAAGCAAAGAAAAUUAUUCAGCUGGAAAAAUACAAAAUACCAAAUACCAAAUCUCUGAAUAAGAAAAUUUCAAAACCAAAGGCAUAUGCACACAUAGAGGCAAACGGGGCAAUAACUUUAAGUAAGAAACUAAUGCAAAAGAAGGUAGUAGCAGUAAACAUAAGAAAGAGGAUGUACCACUUAGAUAUGGACCUUUUUGCAGUGGUAUUCGCUCAUCGAAGCUCAUUCUACU
rnacentral:lncRNA from 1 species